GGGGUUCUAGCUCAUCGGUAGAGCGCUCCCUUAGCAUGUGAGAGAUAUCUCAUGUGGGAAACUGGGAGAAGUAAUGGGUUCGACUCCUAUGUACUCCA